rnacentral:lncRNA from 1 species
GGUGAUGUGACAGGCCCUUGUGCCGUAAUUCUUGGCUGAAUUCAGUGAGCCGCUCGAAUUGGGAAGAACUGUUUCUUCUUCCAAUACCCCCGUGCAGAAAGAGUAUCAGUAUGUGUUCUCUUGAAUCCGGUGCCGUUUUUGCUUCGCAUCCGGUUGAUGGCGAUGCAACUCCUAUUUGAUACCAACAAAGAUCUCACCCUGUUUCCCUCCCAGCAAAGAAAAGAAAAGUAAAGAAAUCGCAAGGCGUCGCAGUCGAUGGAGCUUCAAACAGCUGCAUCGAUCAACUCCCACCAGCAUCAGCAUAAAUACGAUGCCCGUACCAAGGCCGGAAG